UACGUAGGUGGCAAGCGUUGUCCGGAAUUAUUGGGCGUAAAGCGCGCGCAGGCGGUCCUUUAAGUCUGAUGUGAAAGCCCACGGCUCAACCGUGGAGGGUCAUUGGAAACUGGGGAACUUGAGUGCAGAAGAGGAGAGCGGAAUUCCACGUGUAGCGGUGAAAUGCGUAGAGAUGUGGAGGAACACCAGUGGCGAAGGCGGCUCUCUGGACUGUAACUGACGCUGAGGCGCGAAAGCGUGGGGAGCAAACAGG
rnacentral:rRNA from 1 species